CCCUUAGAUGUUCGGGGCCGCACGCGCGCUACACUGAAGGAAUCAGCACGUCUUUCUCCUUGCCCGAAAGGACUGGGUAACCCGCUGAACCUCCUUCGUGCUAGGGAUUGGGGCUUGUAAUUCUUCCCCAUGAACGAGGAAUUCCCAGUAAGCGCGAGUCAUAAGCUCGCGUUGAUUACGUCCCUGCCCUUUGUACACACCGCCCGUCGCUACUACCGAUUGGAUGGUUUAGUGAGAUCCUCGGAUUGGUCCCGGCGCGGCCUCUGGUCGUGCCGGAGUGCCGAAAAGAAUGUCGAACUUGAUCAUCUAGAGGAAGUAAAAGUCGUAACA
rnacentral:rRNA from 1 species